AUUGAACGCUGGCGGCAUGCUUUACACAUGCAAGUCGAACGGUAACAGGCCUUCGGGUGCUGACGAGUGGCGAACGGGUGAGUAAUGCAUCGGAACGUACCCAGAGGUGGGGGAUAACGCAGCGAAAGCUGUGCUAAUACCGCAUGUGAUCUGAGGAUGAAAGCGGGGGACCGAGCAGCAAUGUUUGGCCUCGCGCCUUUGGAGCGGCCGAUGUCGGAUUAGCUAGUUGGUGGGGUAAAGGCCUACCAAGGUGACGAUCCGUAGCUGGUCUGAGAGGACGACCAGCCACACUGGGACUGAGACACGGCCCAGACUCCUACGGGAGGCAGCAGUGGGGAAUUUUGGACAAUGGGCGCAAGCCUGAUCCAGCAACGCCGCGUGCGGGAAGAAGGCCUUCGGGUUGUAAACCGCUUUUGGCAGGAACGAAACGGUGUCCGCUAAUACCGGGCGCUAAUGACGGUACCUGCAGAAUAAGCACCGGCUAACUACGUG
rnacentral:rRNA from 1 species